rnacentral:lncRNA from 1 species
CAGCCCUAGACAUCUUAGGGCUGCCUCGUGCACGAUUUCCCCAUGACAUAGAUUUAACAUUUGUAUUUCACACUGCUGAUGUGUUUCUUCUUAGUCAAUCUUGCCCCCUCUUCCUGCCCUUCUGAGAGAGGAUCAAGUUUCAGGGAAAUGGACACACUCAGCACAAUCCCCCCACCUCCUGCAUUAAAAGAAAAAAAGAUUUUUCUGAAAACCAAGCUUAAGCAAACAUCAGGAACUUACUUCUCCCCCAUCCUUCCAUUUAAUGCCAACUGUCCUUAUUCACUUUUAUCUUGCUUAACCAGUUUAGUUCUGGGUGGAAUUGGAGGUCUACAGAAGUUGGACUGGAGCGUGGUUCUGGUGUUUGCUCGGGAUAGUUGGGUGGGAUGGGAAAGGAGAUGAGCCCUCUAUGCCUCUCUCUAACUUCCUCUAUUCUCCAGCCCCUUAGCCUCUCUAGCUCUGUAGUAUAGCCUUAACCUAUUCUGCCUGCAACAUAGCUUCACUCAGUGUAUAGUGGAUGGAAAGAUCCAGAAAGGGGAGAAAGAGGGCACCCAAGACAAAUUUCCUUUAUUAUGAAAGUUUUUCCACAUUUUCUCCUCUAAUCAGAGAGCAGAUUACAAAUUGACCCCAUAGCCUGUUGUGCUGCUUGAAGAGUCUGACCUGAGAAUGAGAAGGAAGGGCGGGCAAAGUCAUGCCUCCCUGUCGCAGUCAAUCCUUUCUUUUGCAAUUC